rnacentral:tmRNA from 1 species
GGGGAUGUAUUUGGCUUUCGACAGUUAUUUAGCAGUACUCAAAGCGAGUGGUGGAUGUUCGCUUCGGCCACCUUAAAAAAAGCGAAUUUAAUAAUAAACGCUAAAAAUAAUAAUAAUAAUUAUGAAUUAGCUUACGCUGCCUAAUUGCAGUGUCAUUCGAUAACUGACUCCCACAGCUUUUAUCGGGUGUUUUGUUCGUGGGUAAACGAUCUACCAUUUUGCUCAUGAUGGUAGAGGUAUCAUAGAGCUAGUAUUCAAUUGGUUUUGUUUUUUCCUCCUUUUGCAUACGAAAUCCAAAGAAUAAACUGCACUCGGAGAAAUGAAUAUGAAAGAAUAAUUGGACAGGGGUUCGACUCCCCUCAUCUCCACCA